CAUUCCACUUCCAAUAUGGAGACUUUCCAACUACAACCUUUUCCUUAAUUAAAUCUCCCUUAAUAAUUCUUUGACCUUCAUCAUGAGUUCUGUUCCCUUGACUUCACUAAUGUCUCACUACUCAUGAGAUUCACUUUUAUAUUCCUUCUUUCUUACCUUCAUUUUCAUCAUCCAUUACUAUAAUCACUCUCUUGCUCUGUCUCCUCCAAUUGUGUUGGCUUCUUUGUCUCCCUCUAUCUCCCCGUCCGCCACUCACACUCUGUCUCUCUCUCUCAAACAAACAUUAAAACAAAAUCAAUACCUCAAAGUAACCAAUCAGGUAAUAAGAGAAAAAGGAAUAAUAGAACAUCACCAUUUUGUAAACCCUCAAUGAGAUCAAGAUCAUCAAUAGCUUUAAUGUUACAAAGGAGAGACACUUGAAGGUUAUGUGCCUCCUGAUGAAAAGACACAGCACCACCUAUGGAGUAUUCUUGAUGAAAACCUGAACCUGAAUCAAAGCAAGCCUUUAUAUCUAACAACCGUUUACAGAAAAUGAAAGGAGAUAGAGGAAAUGGUUAAAUGUCACCAUAGGAAUGCAAUCAGCAAAAUCCUGAAUAGGAAAUUUCUGAAGGACAAAAAUCUCUAUUUCUUCACCAAAAAGGGGGUGAUAAAGAAGUGGAGAGGGAAGAUCUGUAGAUUAUAAUAGAUUUAAGAGAGUUGUCCAUCAAGUGUAACAUUAGCUCUUUGAGGAUGGUGCCAUAUAGGCCAUAUGACAUGAUAUAUGACAACCACAUGACAACCUGACAUCACUAUUAAGUGAUGAUAUCACUAUUAACCUCACAUGCCCACACCCUUGAUUCCACCUGCCCCCUCAAACCUUGUCUCUCCCCAGGCUUGCCUAUGUUUCCCAUCUUCACAAAUGGCCCCACCACCAUCUGGUUGCUCAGGGCUAUGCCAACACUGCCUUUGGAAAUCGUAGAAGGUUUACAGAAAGACAUUGCCCAGGAGUCAGAAAACCUGAGAGUCCCAGUUUUCUCCCUUUUACUGGUUGUUGCUCUUGGGCAAUGCACACGCGCUCUUUGUGCCUGAGCUUCUCACCUACGAUCUGGGAGUUUGGGAGUGGGCUUUUGAGCACUCUUCCCUGCUCUCAAGACUUUAGGCUCCCAAGUGGCCCCUUGCAUAUGGCAGAGCUACACAGGGACAGAAAUCGCUGAAGGAGGGAAGCCAAAUGUCAGGGGAAGGAGACUGGGAUUCAGGACUCAUCUCAUCCAUCAGGAGAAAGGGCCUGAGGAUUGGCCUGUUGUCAUCUAUCCGGACUUGCUUUCACCUCUGGAAAAAAACUUCAGGAAAAGUGACCCCUCCUUCCCACCCAUACUCACUGACCAAAAUUUCCAUCAAAGCCUAGCUUCUAUCCCUCAUGCCAGGAAUCAUACCCAAGUGGAAGCACAGACAUCCCUGGCUACCAUAAAGCAAGGAAGGGGCCAACCCAGGAAAGGGGUGAAAGGUGAUGUCAGCCGUCUGAAGUUUCCCAGGGAUGGUGAGAAGUCACAAGACAAAGCCCUUUGAGAAAUAGUCACCAGUCUAUGUUCCCACUGGGCUGUGCCCUGGGAGAGGCACAAGAACCCGCCCCAACGCCUGAGAGAGGGACACUGGAGGCCUCAGACCAACUCCCUGAAGUCUUGACUUCUAGUGAAUCUACAUUGGCUGACUUCCCCGGAUUUAUGAGGAUGCUUCUGGAAUCUUCUGCAAAGCUUCCAGCUUCCUGGCAGAACUCCAUUACUAGAGGGAUGUUGGAAAGCAGCACCCUGCAAGAUGUGCAUGUGAAUACACAGAAGCACACCUGAAGGAGCUAACACCAAACUGAAAACCAAGGUCACCUCUGGGGAGGUGAGGAGGAGACCAGAAAUGGAGGUCAGCUGGGGGUUCUGAUCCAUGCCAUCGUCAUUCAGGGAUCUAGACCUCAUCAUCUGAAAUGUCAUUGGUCACCAUGGCAGAGAGAAGGUAAGGAGAAUCAUACGCUGGCUCUUAAAUGCUUCCACCCAGAAGACACAUUUUUGCUCAUGUAUCAUUGUCCAAAGCAAGUCACAUGGCCACACCUGACUUCUAAAAGGUGGGAAAGUACCUAUAAGAGAACAGGGAACAUGGAUGAGCAGCACUGAUGGUUAACACACUUGUCUUUUGUAAAAUGGGAGCCAAGAAAUUGUGGAAAUGAAGGGAGGAGACGCGUUCACAGGCACAGCCUAGUCCUUGAAGAUGAUGUUCUGGAAGUUGAUUCCCGUCAACAUAACCCUGCCACCUACCCUUCGCUAAGAAAGCCUUUUUGCACCUCUAGGGGUACAUGUGCCCAAGUGUGAAGACCACUGCUGCCUUUGUGAAGCCUUCCCUUCAGAUCCAGGGACCUCUUUGAGUUCCUGUCAUUAUUGCCUCUACUAUCCAUUUGGAAGCUAUUAGAGGAGUUAAUUACAUUUUCAUAUAUGUGUUUCAUGUUUUCCUAACAAGUUGUAGUUUCUUUGAGGAUGGAAACCAUAUGUAAGUUUUUACAUACCCCAUAUUAUCUAGCAAGAACAGUUAGAACUUGUGAGUUCUGCUUGAUGGCUGAAUUGGUCACUUUUCUUGGUAUGCUUCAAUCUCAUCUGUGCAGUGGGAAUAACAAGGCUUCUUGCCCUUAGGAUCACAAUCAAGAUGACAGAAGUGAAAGCUCUUUCCAUCCCACUCUCUUUGACCUAACAGGGAUCGGCAUCUUGAGACUCCACUUCUGAAAAGCUGUAUGUAAUGAUGAGUCAUUAAAGGCUCUUGAAACAUC